UACGGAAGGUCCGGGCGUUAUCCGGAUUUAUUGGGUUUAAAGGGAGCGUAGGCCGGUCUUUAAGCGUGCCGUGAAAUUUUGUGGCUCAACCAUGAGAGUGCGGCGCGAACUGGAGACCUUGAGUGCGCGGAAGGCAGGCGGAAUUCGUGGUGUAGCGGUGAAAUGCGUAGAUAUAUGGAAGAACACCAGUGGCGAAAGCGGCUCUCUGGUCUGUAACUGACGCUGAGGUUCGAAAGCGUGGGUAGCAAACAGG
rnacentral:rRNA from 1 species